rnacentral:rRNA from 1 species
CGUGCCUAAUACAUGCAAGUAGAACGCUGAAGAGAGGAGCUUGCUCUUCUUGGAUGAGUUGCGAACGGGUGAGUAACGCGUAGGUAACCUGCCUUGUAGCGGGGGAUAACUAUUGGAAACGAUAGCUAAUACCGCAUAACAAUAGGUGACACAUGUCAUUUAUUUGAAAGGGGCAAUUGCUCCACUACAAGAUGGACCUGCGUUGUAUUAGCUAGUAGGUGAGGUAACGGCUCACCUAGGCGACGAUACAUAGCCGACCUGAGAGGGUGAUCGGCCACACUGGGACUGAGACACGGCCCAGACUCCUACGGGAGGCAGCAGUAGGGAAUCUUCGGCAAUGGGGGCAACCCUGACCGAGCAACGCCGCGUGAGUGAAGAAGGUUUUCGGAUCGUAAAGCUCUGUUGUAAGUCAAGAACGAGUGUGAGAGUGGAAAGUUCACACUGUGACGGUAGCUUACCAGAAAGGGACGGCUAACUACGUGCCAGCAGCCGCGGUAAUACGUAGGUCCCGAGCGUUGUCCGGAUUUAUUGGGCGUAAAGCGAGCGCAGGCGGUUUGAUAAGUCUGAAGUUAAAGGCUGUGGCUCAACCAUAGUUCGCUUUGGAAACUGUCAAACUUGAGUGCAGAAGGGGAGAGUGGAAUUCCAUGUGUAGCGGUGAAAUGCGUAGAUAUAUGGAGGAACACCGGUGGCGAAAGCGGCUCUCUGGUCUGUAACUGACGCUGAGGCUCGAAAGCGUGGGGAGCGAACAGGAUUAGAUACCCUGGUAGUCCACGCCGUAAACGAUGAGUGCUAGGUGUUGGAUCCUUUCCGGGAUUCAGUGCCGCAGCUAACGCAUUAAGCACUCCGCCUGGGGAGUACGACCGCAAGGUUGAAACUCAAAGGAAUUGACGGGGGCCCACACAAGCGGUGGAGCAUGUGGUUUAAUUCGAAGCAACGCGAAGAACCUUACCAGGUCUUGACAUCCCGAUGCUAUUUCUAGAGAUAGAAAGUUACUUCGGUACAUCGGUGACAGGUGGUGCAUGGUUGUCGUCAGCUCGUGUCGUGAGAUGUUGGGUUAAGUCCCGCAACGAGCGCAACCCCUAUUGUUAGUUGCCAUCAUUCAGUUGGGCACUCUAGCGAGACUGCCGGUAAUAAACCGGAGGAAGGUGGGGAUGACGUCAAAUCAUCAUGCCCCUUAUGACCUGGGCUACACACGUGCUACAAUGGUUGGUACAACGAGUUGCGAGUCGGUGACGGCAAGCUAAUCUCUUAAAGCCAAUCUCAGUUCGGAUUGUAGGCUGCAACUCGCCUACAUGAAGUCGGAAUCGCUAGUAAUCGCGGAUCAGCACGCCGCGGUGAAUACGUUCCCGGGCCUUGUACACACCGCCCGUCACACCACGAGAGUUUGUAACACCCGAAGUCGGUGAGGUAACCUUUUGGAGCCAGCCGCCUAAGGUGGGAUAGAUGAUUGG